rnacentral:rRNA from 1 species
GAGUUUGAUCUUGGCUCAGAUUGAACGCUGGCGGCAUGCCUUACACAUGCAAGUCGAACGGCAGCACGGGAGCUUGCUCCUGGUGGCGAGUGGCGAACGGGUGAGUAAUGCAUCGGAACGUAUCCUGGAGUGGGGGAUAACGUAGCGAAAGUUACGCUAAUACCGCAUAUUCUGUGAGCAGGAAAGCGGGGGGACCUUCGGGCCUCGCGCUCUUGGAGCGGCCGAUGUCGGAUUAGCUAGUUGGUGAGGUAAGGGCUCACCAAGGCGACGAUCCGUAGCAGGUCUGAGAGGAUGAUCUGGCCACACUGGAACUGAGACACGGUCCAGACUCCUACGGGAGGCAGCAGUGGGAAUUUUGGACAAUGGGGCAACCCUGAUCCAGCCAUGCCGCGUGAGUGAAGAAGGCCU